CAUUUGGAAGUGUUUGCCUUGAAUGUCUUUGCAAAGGCUGAUAAACAAGAUCGUGCUGGGCGAGCUGACUUGAAUACUGUGAAAACGUUUUACGCUGCGAGCAUCUUCUUUGAGAUUCUCAACCAAUUUGGUCCCCUUCAGCCUGAUCUUGAGCAGAAACAGAAGUAUGCAGCUUAGAAAGCAGCAGAUAUAAGAAAGGCUUUGAAGGAAGGAAGGAAGCCCGUCCCUGGGCCUCCUGCUGGUGAAGAUGAUCUGUCCGUGCCGCCGAGUACACUUGGUGGAUCUUAUGACCUUGGUGUGAAUCCUGCACCGGAGCCUGACCUGUCACCUCGGCCUCAUGAGAGAAUAGGGCGUCAACAUUCUGCCAACAUUUUGGGAUCUCCACCACCCCGCCCUUCUUCCAGUUAUCCUUCUCACGACUUUCAUGCCCAUCCUCCUCCUCCAAACACAAAACCAAGAUCUCCUCCGCUCCACUCUUCCUCCAGUUAUCCUUCCCAAGACCUUCAUGCUCCUCAUCCUCCAAACACACUGCCAGAAGCAGGAGCCCCUCGUCGCUUACUACUGUAAGGCCUUGAAAACCCUUCAUCCAAGAGUCCCUUGUAUUCAUUUGGAGAGAAGAAGCUACAGAAACAGGUCAUGUAAUAUGACAGAAUUGGAAGGUAAUUAUUGCUUAAAUCAUUUGUUGGAUGUUCCGACUGAUAUGAAUCUCUACUUAGUUCUUAAUGUCUGUAUUGAUCUCAUGCCACUUAGCUCCCUCCGUUAAUAAAACAUUGUGUAGUCCUGCGGACCUUUGAACUGUCAGUGACAUGAAUAGGGCCUGCUGGGUGGAAAAUCAUUUCCGGAAUAUGUUUUCAUGGACUUGCUAAAGAGGCACGCCUAUAAGACUGCUUGUUUCGAGGUCUAACUGUAUCUGGUUUUUUAACAUCAUAAACUCGUGCCGAUCCCUUGAACACGUGAUUAUGAUCUAAUCGACAGGCGGUCAGUUGAAUCACACACUCCACUUUAUUUUCCGAUUGGCAGGUCUUCCUGGAGGAAAAUGCCCCAUGGGAAGUAAUCCUUUUAUUUGAGCGAAUAUUUGUGCAUCAGCACAUCCAAGACCGCAGCGGCCACUUGUCGCCGUGUCAACCACCUGUGCCUGGCGGUUGGCGACCUCAUCUAGAAGUCGUGCAGUACUUGGAAGGCCCAACCUUUACUUGGCCAUUUGACAACGACCGACAAUAUUCAUCGAAUUCAAUUGAACGAGCUACAAGCUUGAGUCAUAUAUA